ensembl:lincRNA
UGCUGGGUGAAGAGCUCUUGGAUAGGACAGAGUUCGGUGACCAGUUGCUGAUGGCGUUUGGCUCCUUGGUGUCUCUCUGGGUAUACCCUUGUCCAUCUAGCCCAGGAUUUGCAAAUCAGACACCCUGCUGUUGUCAUCGUGUGCUAGUCUGAGUUUACAUACCCACUUUUGAGAGGAAGAUAAGAGGUCCUCAGUUUUUCUCCUUUUGUGGCUUUCCUCUGUGUCUGGGGAACCAGGCUGUCUGAUCAUGGAGAGGCUCUGGGACCCAAAGACUGACCUGCCUACUUGACGCCAUCAGCAGGCUCUGUAACAACCUUUGAUCAGAGCAUCAAACUGCGUUUCUUUCAUCAACCCAGAGGCUCCCUAAUGCUGGGGUCCACCUCUCUGUCAAACUGGGUAUACCCACGACUGUGACGACAACUUCCACACUAAACAAAGGAGACUGCCUCUCUCCAUCUCUUCUGGAACCAGAUGGACACACAGACAUGUGUGACGUAGGGAGACAUUUUCUGAACCUUGGAGCUUGGAUAUCAUCUCUCUGUAAGAGAUCAGUGUUGUCAGUAUUUCAUGGAAUCUACAUAGGUGAAUGAGUCAACUGGAGAUCUUUCACGUCACAGAGCAAACACCCUCUGAGCAAUAAUAAUAAGUGUGGGUCCAGAAAAUGGGAGUACUGGAAUUGCUGGGCUCAAGAACUGAUCACACACAGGAGUCCAUUUCAGAAGAUUGGCAAGUCUAAAGGGAAGUCAAGUCCAGUUAUCUACUGGAAGCUCAAAGUGGAAACUCAAGCACCAAGCAUGGCACUGUGGGUACUAACAUGGCUGUGGUAGGAAGAGGAUGGGGCCAGUGCCCAUAGCAAGGACAAUAAUUCUAAACAGAAAAAAACUCCUUAACUAUACAGCAAUAGUAAAUAAACUAAAAUAGUUAUAUUACAAUGACUUGUAACCAGUAAUAUUUAUCUCAUUGUUCAGAUUGGCUUGGAAUUUACUAUGUAGAUUUCACUGGCUUCCUUGCAAAUCUUCCUAAGUGCUAGGAUUUCAGGCAUGUGCCAUCAUACUGGGCUGCCAUCAGUCCUAAUUGUUGCAGAACACUUUUAUGGGAAAUCCAUAAAAUCAUGUAGAGUAGGAUUCCAUUUUAAUUAAAAGCCUGUCACACAUAUAGGUGCCCCCAUACUUGCAAAGGGACAACAUUCUGAUUACUCCAUUGUAAGUGGGAAAUGCGUUUACUACACUGACCUGCUGGAUUCCCUAGCUUGGAAACUCAGUACACCAGGAUGAAUUGUUCUUUCCCGUGGUUGCACAGUUGAUUGGGAGCCAUGGCUCAGAACUGGGUAAGAGGACAGUACCAUAGAUUGCCAACUCAGAAGAAGUUCAAAAUCAAGCAUUUUAAAUACAGUUUCUACCAAGACCAUAGUGUUCUUUGUACCAUUGUAAAGUAGAAAAAUUCAAAGUUGAACUACUGGAAGCUGGAAACUGCAUCUACACACCCUAUAAAUUCUUAUUUUUUAUUUUUUUUUGGUGAGUACUCUGAAGUGAUACACACAACCUUUUUCUAUUCUG